ACGGAAGGCAGCAGUGGGGAAUAUUGGACAAUGGGCGAAAGCCUGAUCCAGCGACGCCGCGUGAACGAUGAAGUAUUUCGGUAUGUAAAGUUCUAUCAGCAGGGAAGAUAAUGACGGUACCUGACUAAGAAGCACCGGCUAAAUACGUGCCAGCAGCCGCGGUAAUACGUAUGGUGCAAGCGUUAUCCGGAUUUACUGGGUGUAAAGGGAGCGUAGGCGGCUUUGCAAGUCUGAUGUGAAAGCCCGGGGCUCAACUCCGGUAUUGCAUUGGAAACUGUAGAGCUAGAGUGUCGGAGGGGUAAGUGGAAUUCCUAGUGUAGCGGUGAAAUGCGUAGAUAUUAGGAGGAACACCAGUGGCGAAGGCGGCUUGCUGGACGAUUACUGACGCUGAGGCUCGAAAGCGUGGGGAGCAAACAGGAUUAGAUACCCUGGUA
rnacentral:rRNA from 1 species